CUCCAGCUCUUUCCCAGGCUUUUUGCCUGGCUAGAAACUCUCCGUUUCUUUCUUUGACUGAAUCUGAGUCCCACAUGCCUGCCUUCUCUUCCAGGGUGCAGGAACCCCUUUAUUUUACAGGGAUAAGGAGAAGGUGGCAGGGGAGGGGUGCAAGCAGACCUGGCUUGUGCAGGCAGGGCCUGGGGCUGGCUCAGCAUGAUGGACCAGGGCCUUUGCCCCUGAGGAUGGUGCAGCUGAGCCCCUCACUUGCCAUCACACACCUCUCACACCGCCUGCUGAGGAGUCUGGAUAUCUGCACAGAAAAGGACAGAGCCCAGGAUCCCCCAGCUCGGGUUCUUCUCCAUGGCAAAGGCUCUUAGGGCCCUGCCUUGGCCAGGGUCGAUGCUGUAGGUGUCUUAAAGAGUAAUGGCAGAAACCAAGAUCUUCGGCUAAAGAUUAUUUCUACCUAAAUUUUCCAAAACUGCAAUGUCAGUGACCCCAGUCAUCGGGAAACUACUCAAAGAUAAGAAAACGAAUGGGACUUCCUAGCAAUUACGCUUUCACCAAUUCCCCAAAAAAGCACUGAGCACACAAGUGGGGAGGGAGAGGGGAGAACAGGGAUAGGAAAAUGCUACUAACCUACACUGUGUUUGCAGUUUUAAAUAAGAAGCUUCACUGACUCUAGUACUACUUCCUGAAGGGAAAUUUUCUGAAAGAUAUAAUCAACAGGAAAAAAAAAACUGCUUUGUCUUUUCAAAUUUGCCUGUACAACCUAUUUAUUUUAGCAUGACACGUACACCCCAGCUCUGCACCGUCACCAGAAGUGACUCCCCAGCCUUUGUAAAUUCUGUCCUGCAUUUUUUCCAACUUAAGGCCAUGGCUCACAGUUCCUCUAAAAGUACUUUGGGCACAUUUUUGCCUAAUUGGCCUUUCCCAAGUUUAUCCUCACGUGUACUUUGACUUUAAACAAUUUUCCAGAAGACAGGGAAAACACAGGAAAUAUAGUGGGAAACAAACCUCUCCUAUAUCAAAUCAACUAAAAUUAUUUCCAAAACUUCACUGAAUAAUUUGAAUAAUCCAUAGGCUCCUUGACAGCCAACAGCACAGAAAAGAGACUGCGCCAGCCCCACGGUUUUUAUGUGGCCUGGAUAAUAAAAAAUGUGUUUAUGUGAAUCAGGUGUAAGAGAAACUUCAGGCACUUCCAUGAUAACUGUGCUGCUGCGGGACACCUUGGGAGGGUGAGGGCAGGAGUGGCCCUGGCUGCUCUGGUGGUGGCAGUGCUGCCAGCUCGGCCGUGCCCAGGGAAAGCAGCAGCAGAUGGGGCAGGGGCAUCCCUGCCCUGCCACGGGCACAGCCACCACCCGCUGUGGGAGGGUGGCACAGGAGCAGCACGUCCCAGCACAGGCGUUCUUGUCCCUACGUGGUGAUACACAAAGAGCAGAACCAAGCAGAGACAUUUUAUGGCAAACAGGACACAGAUUUAUUGUUGUAACUCUCUGGGCAUGUGGCAAAGUGGUGAAGAAAGUUUCUGUCCAGCUCCCAUUUUGGUGGGAGUGAGGGUGGAUUUCCAGCAGGGAGACCACAGUACCCAGCCUCCAGACAGCAAUCCAUGCACUCGCCUCACAGGAACACACACACACUCUUCACCACACCGUGAUUAAGAGCCAAAUAUAACAGCUGCAAAAUAACAAAAUUAUCAAGUCAGUGGUAGGGAACUGAGCUGAGAUUCAGGCACUUGCCUGGGAUGGUAAUUGCAAAGCCACUUGUCUGAGAGACCAGAACACCCACUGUGCCUGUUGGCCUGGAAGGGUUGGCUGGGUGCAAAUCCCUUCCAAGUGAUUUAGUCUGGCUGCAGCCUCAGCCUGGAAAGUGCUUUUGAAACCGGGGAUCUACAGGAGAUGGAGCCUUUGGCGUGCUCUGCUCAGGUGAGAGACUUCCCUUCCACCUCUGUGCCACAGCUUCCAUUUCUUCAGUACCAUGACCACUUCUGCUUUGUCUGCACUUAGUCAGCAAGAAGUACUUUCACUAGGAAGAAAACCCAGAGGUCUCCAAGACACUCCUGUCUAAACACUUUUUUCUAAGUGGAAUUUACAUUAGCAAUAGAAAACCAAUACUUUGAUUUUCUGAUGCUUCCUUCAGCAUUAGUUCUGCAGUACAACUCUGCUGCCUCUUCACAGGCUGCUGCGUAACACCUGCCCUGAAGUACUUUGGGAUUGGAAACUUCAGAGAAGGAAAAGUGAAUUUCUGGAGCUGCACCCUUCCCACCAGCUGCAGCAGCUGAAGGAAGCAGGAAGGUUCCAGCCCUGCCAGCCCUGCACAAGGGAGAACUCACUGCUUGUAAAGCCAAUAAACCCAACCACUGAUUCAAGAGAUACUACAUGUGCUGAUGCUAUACAUUGUGCUGUGACCCACAUUUGGGUUUUUUCAGCUUAUAAAAUGUUUUAUUUAAUUGCUCUGCUACAUAAGGAACAGCACAAAUGAGAGAAUGGCCUGGAAGAUGUGUAGUGGCUUCUCCAUGAGGAUUUCAUAGAAGGCAACGCUGGAACAGUGUUGAAAAUGAAAAAAUGGUUAGUAGGGUCAUCCAAAAUCAGCCAUCAAGGACAAACUGAAGUUAUUUAUAUCACCUCAAUUAAAGCAUUCCCUGGA